rnacentral:rRNA from 1 species
GAUGAACGCUGGCGGCGUGCCUAACACAUGCAAGUCGAACGGAGAUUACGGACGGAAGUUUUCGGAUGGAAGACUGUAAUUCUUAGUGGCGGACGGGUGAGUAACGCGUGGGCAACCUGCCCUAUACAGGGGGAUAGCAGCUGGAAACGGCUGGUAAGACCGCAUAAGUCGGCGAGACCGCAUGGUUUUGCCGGGAAAUCAGCAAUCAGGUAUAGGAUGGGCCCGCGUCCGAUUAGCCAGUUGGCAGGGUAAAAGCCUACCAAAGCAACGAUCGGUAGCCGGACUGAGAGGUCGGACGGCCACAUUGGGACUGAGACACGGCCCAAACUCCUACGGGAGGCAGCAGUGGGGGAUAUUGCACAAUGGAGGAAACUCUGAUGCAGCGACGCCGCGUGAGUGAAGAAGUAUUUCGGUAUGUAAAGCUCUAUCAGCAGGGAAGAUGAUGACGGUACCUGACUAAGAAGCCCCGGCUAACUACGUG